UGGGGGUGAGUGCAGCAGAUUUGGGGGUGCCCGGCAGGUGCGGGGCUGUGGGUUUGGGGCCGAUGCUGAGGGGGGCACGGGUUUUGGGGGGCUCUGGGCCCCCGGAGCUGACCCAGCCCCCGCUGUGCCCCCGGCGCAGUUCGAGCGCUGCAGCCACUUCUUCCAGAUGAAGAACAUCUCCUUCUGUGGGUGCCACCCCCGGAACAGCUGCUAUUUCGGGUUCAUCACCAAGCACCCGGUGCUGAGCCGCUUCGCCUGCCACGUGUUCGUGUCGCAGGAGUCCAUGCGACACGUGGCCGAGUGUGUCGGCCGAGCGUUUCAGGAAUAUUACCAGGAGCACCUGGAGUACGCCUGCCCCACAGAGGACAUCUACCUGGAGUAGGGUCCCUGUCCCCGCCACUCGGGGCCACCCUCGGGGACUCGGGGUCACCCCCAGGGACUCGGGGCCACCCCGGCACUCUGCGUGACCCCCAGGGACUUGGGGUCACCUCCAGGGACUCAGGGUCACCCCCAGGGACUCUGGGUCACCCCCGGGACUCAGGGUCAUCGCAGGGACUUGGGGUCACUCCCAGGGACUCUGUGUGACCCCAGGGACUCUGUGUCACCCCCGGGGCCUUGGUGUCACCCUUAGGGACUCAGUGUCACCCCAGGGACUCUGUGUGACCCCAGGGACUCUGUGUCACCCCCGGGGCCUUGGUGUCACCCUUAGGGACUCAGUGUCACCCCAGGGACUCUGUGUGACUGUAGGGACUCUGUGCGUGACCCUUGGGGACUUGGUGUCACCCCAGGGACUCUGUGUGUGACCCUUAGGGACUCAGUGUCACCCCCAGGGACUUGGGGUGA